AGUGAACGCUGGCGGUAGGCCUAACACAUGCGAGUCGAACGGCAGCACAGUAAGAGCUUGCUCUUACGGGUGGCGAGUGGCGGACGGGUGAGGAAUACAUCGGAAUCUACUUUUUCGUGGGGGAUAACGUAGGGAAACUUACGCUAAUACCGCAUACGACCUACGGGUGAAAGCAGGGGAUCUUCGGACCUUGCGCGAUUGAAUGAGCCGAUGUCGGAUUAGCUAGUUGGCGGGGUAAAGGCCCACCAAGACGACGAUCCGUAGCUGGUCUGAGAGGAUGAUCAGCCACACUGGAACUGAGACACGGUCCAGACUCCUACGGGAGGCAGCAGUGGGGAAUAUUGGACAAUGGGCGCAAGCCUGAUCCAGCCAUACCGCGUGGGUGAAGAAGGCCUUCGGGUUGUAAAGCCCUUUUGUUGGGAAAGAAAAGCAGCAGGUUAAUACCCCGCUGUUCUGACGGUACCCAAAGAAUAAGCACCGGCUAACUUCGUG
rnacentral:rRNA from 1 species